rnacentral:lncRNA from 1 species
AGAGAGAUUAGAGUGAGAGAGAGAUCAUCCAUUAAUUAGCAAAUAUCCUCUAAGAUUUGCAAAUCCCCUUUAAAGAUCACAAGAUCAUUUCAUAUCUUGCAAGAAUUCCUCUCUCUCCUUCUUCCCUAAUUUUCGAGCUCUCUCUCCCUCCCUUCAUCUCUCUACUUUCCUCCAUUGUUAGCCAUAGAUGAGACCUCCGAAGCUCUACCAAAGUAUGCCAAACACAUAAAUCACUACUUAAAUCCUCCAUAAACACAUCCUAUUAACUU